rnacentral:tRNA from 1 species
GCGUCGGUUGGGCAUCGGCAAGCCCCGCUGGCUGUAAACCAGUCGUCCGCAGGGACUCUGGCGGUUCAACUCCGUCCCGGCGCA